UUGCAUUCCCUGUUCCAUGUACUGGCCAGGUCACAGAGGUUGGAUUCCCUGCUCCAUGUACUGGCCAGGUCACAGAGGUUGCAUUCCCUGCUCCAUGUACUGGCCAGGUCACAGAGGUUGCAUUCCCUGCUCCAUGUACUGGCCAGGUCACAGAGGUUGGAUUUCCUGUUCCAUGUCCCAUGUAUCUUACAUGGGCUGGACUCCAGGAGCAGCUGCCCCAGUCUAUUUUUGGGCUGAGGAAGCAGAGCGGACAAGCCGGAGCCCUCGCCACGUCCCUGGGGAGAUCCGUGCAGGACAAGUGGAUCACAGGAAUAAGAGAAAAGAAGGACUUGGAAGAGGCGACAGGAAUCAAGGGCUUGUGCCAGUUUAUCCCCAAAUCAUAAACCAGGGAAAGACAAGGAAUGUGUAUAAAUAAAAGGAGUCAGGAGAGACCAUAAACCCAUGUGUUGGUUUGGGAGAGAGGAGGCACUGCAG